rnacentral:lncRNA from 1 species
GAACUAGAAAAUGAAUAUGAAGUUAUCACUGUGUUUAACUUCCAACUUUGCUCUCUGAUUCCAAUAGUCGUCACAGUUUUCUGAAAACCUGAAAUGUAACGUAUGUGACGUUGCUUCUCCCUAGUGAUUCAGCAAACAAAAGCCUGAAAUUCUUCUCCAAAUCUCCAUUUUCCCCCACAUUCCUAAUUCAAGCUCAAAGCUUUAUUUAAUUUAACCACAUUUAACACAUAAUUUUUAGUUAUGUGCUCUGAUUGAUGCAGUAUUUCUUAUGGAUAUAGACUUUGAAUCCAUUGUAUGACCUCGAAAAGAAUUUAGAGUUUAGACAAUUUAGAAUUUGGAACCAAUUUCAGUGUCUCCAGAAAAGAUCCAAAGUUGAUAGCUUGCCGCUUCUCCCCGUAUGGUGAGCCAUCUCACUGUGCUCAAGAGACUGCUACAUCCUGGAGAAGGGGAUAACACAGAGGGACACAGAGAUUUUUUAUUUACAGAAAUAGUAUCUGGAAGUGCCCUUUGGUUUACUAUCUUGAUCUUUUAUGUUAAGCAACUACGAAUGUUUGAAAGGGAGAACAAAAAAAUCGCCACUAAGAGAAGGAAAUAUUACCUGAAGAAGGCCGGGCGCGGUGGCUCACGCCUGUAAUCCCAGCACUUUGGGAGGCCAAGGCAGGCGGAUCACGAGCGCAGCUUAACUUGGACUCACCACCUAUCAAGUGCUCGACAGCCACGUGUGCAGUGGUUCCUACGUGGAGCAGCAUACAUCCAGAGAUGCAAAUAUUAAUGAGGACAGUGCUAGUAACAGAGUUGCUGAGCAAUCUAUGUCCCCUUGUAAGAACCAGUGCCCCAGGGGAAGAAACAGAACUCCACAAGGUAGCAGUGUGGGUGUAGUACCCGCAUGUGCCCAUGUUAUGGGAAUGUAGAUGGGGAGUGACCACCGCCAACAGAAGUGUGGCCAUCUUGCCCGAGAUGCCUGAGGACCUCCUAUUUUUAGAUGCUGCUGCCCAAGGCCUGUAUUUCAUGCUAUGGCUUUUGUCAUUUGAAUUAUCAGUAGCUGUCUCGGAGCUAUUACGCUUCACUGGGCCCUGGAGGAUAUUGUCUUAUACAGUCCACUGGGUUUUGGAUAUGCAGUCUGUGCCUUUCAUUGCCUUCCUGGAAAAUAAUAACUAAACUCUUCCUCACCA